rnacentral:rRNA from 1 species
GAUGAACGCUGGCGGCGUGCCUAAUACAUGCAAGUCGAGCGGAGCGGGGACGGGUGAGUAACACGUGGAUAACCUCCUAUAAGACUGGGAUAACUUCGGGAAACCGGACCUAAACCGACUAAUUAUAGAUGGAUACGCGCUGCAUGAGCUAGUUGGUAAGGUAACGGCUUACCAAGGCAACGAUGCAUAGCCGACCUGAGAGGAUGAUCGGCCACACUGGAACUGAGACACGGUCCAGACUCCUACGGGAGGCAGCAGUGGGGAAGAUUCCGCAAUGGGCGAAAGCCUGACGGAGCAACGCCGCGUGAGUGAUGAAGGUCUUCGGGUCGUAAAGCUCUGUUAGUAGGGAAGCGGUACCUAAUCAGAAAGCCACGGCUAACUACGUGCCAGCAGCCGCGGUAAUUC